rnacentral:rRNA from 1 species
AUUGAACGCUGGCGGCAUGCCUUACACAUGCAAGUCGAACGGCAGCACGGGGCAACCUGGUGGCGAGUGGCGAACGGGUGAGUAAUGCAUCGGAACGUACCUUUCAGUGGGGGAUAACGUAGCGAAAGUUACGCUAAUACCGCAUAUUCUGUGAGCAGGAAAGCAGGGGAUCGCAAGACCUUGCGCUGAUUGAGCGGCCGAUGUCAGAUUAGCUAGUUGGUGAGGUAAAGGCUCACCAAGGCGACGAUCUGUAGCGGGUCUGAGAGGAUGAUCCGCCACACUGGAACUGAGACACGGUCCAGACUCCUACGGGAGGCAGCAGUAGGGAAUUUUGGACAAUGGGGGCAAGCCUGAUCCAGCCAUGCCGCGUGAGUGAAGAAGGCCUUCGGGUUGUAAAGCUCUUUCGGCCGGAAAGAAAUCGCACGGGCUAAUACCCUAUGUGGAUGACGGUACCGGAAUAAGAAGCACGGGCUAACUACGUGCCAGCCGCCGCCGUAACAC